CAACCCCAGCCCCGGAACGUGCGGAACAUACGUUCUGCCCACCCUUUCCACGGUUGGAGCUAUUUUCAAGGACGCAGCUUGAGGUGUUGAGCCCAUCUCUACCGCUUAGGUGGCUGAACCCAGUGCUGGAUAAUAUCAUGCUGAGCUACACCACCCAUGACACAUUAUUUUGGAGCAUACGUGGAUUAUUAUAUGGAUUUUUUUUCUUGAAGAGAUUUAAACAAUUCUCCAAAUUUCACAUCCAGUUAGUUUAAUAUGCAUAUGUUUUACAUCACUAGAAGCCACUGAAAUAUAAAUAUUACCAUUUUUAAUGCAUUUCACAAACUUUCAUCACUUUUGAUGUGCAAUAAUGAGAAUAUAUUAGUAAAAAAGUAUCUCUUGAUUACUCCUUUUAUUGCCUGCCAAAUGCAUUAUAAUUUGUCUUUAUAGUUGAAGAUGUGACAUGGAAAAAAGGAGCUCUUCAAUUUUAAAUGGUUGACAGGCUACACGAAACAAUUUAUUCCUGAAUAGAAGUUCUGUUUGAUAUGUGAAUACUGCAAUGAAUAUUUGCCAGCAUCCAUUCAUUGAGAAACUAUUUUAUUGUUACUGUUAAAGUACUUGGGAACACAGCAGUAAAGCC
ensembl:lncRNA